CUUCAAGCAACUCACUGCAGCCUUACCAUCAGUGGAGCCCCAAUCAUUUUAAGACACAGAAGGGCACACCAGUUUGUCCCGGCUCCAGACUCACUGGAGACAUCCUGACACAGAAUGAUUUGCCCAAGACAAUGCAAUAGUCUUUACCUAGCAAAAGAGUGAGAUUCCUAAAGGUGCUGCCUUCCCCCAGAACAAACAACGGAAAUGUAUCAGGAGAGCUCAGCUGCAGACAGAAUGCACAUCAUGAAGCAGGAGCCACCAUGGGAUUCCUUAGA